rnacentral:misc_RNA from 1 species
GUCGUAACAAGGUUUCCGUAGGUGAACCUGCGGAAGGAUCAUUACCAUUUUCCAAAGCCUUUGUUGUGUUAUGAGAUGUUACAGUCUUAUGACAUGACAAGACAGAGAGAUUGGGGUUAAAGCCAAUCUCUUUGUGUUCCGUGGACUCAUUAUGCGUUUGUUGUUAUAUAUAUAACUUCGGUUGUAUAUUGACAACAUUCGUGGUGUGUGUCGUGUGGAUUGUUGUAUGGGCUUGCUCAUCAACAUCGUAUCACAAUCACACCGACUUUUGAUAUAAACAAUCGUUUGCUCCACAAGAGCUUACACCCAAAACAACUGAUGUAAACAUUAUAACCAAAAACAAUCCAAAACACUUUCAGCAACGGAUGUCUCGGUUCCCAUAACGAUGAAGAACGCAGC